rnacentral:rRNA from 1 species
CGGAACGGGUGAGUAACACGUAGGGAACCUGCCCGCGCACCGGGAAUACGCUCUGGAAACGGAGAACAAAUCCCGAUGUACAGGAAGGAGGCAUCUUCUUUCUGUGAAACAUCCUUUAGGGGAUGGGGCGCGGAUGGACCUGCGGUGCAUUAGUUGGUUGGCGGGGUAAAGGCCCACCAAGACGAUGAUGCAUAGCCGGCCUGAGAGGGCGGACGGCCACAUUGGGACUGAGACACGGCCCAGACUCCUACGGGAGGCAGCAG